AGAGCUGGAGCUGGUCUGCGCAUGCACUUGGAGGCACGGUAUGAACAACCGCAGAAACGCCGGCCAACUACGCCAGUUCUCAGAGCCCAGCGUUCUCCUCUCUCCUCUUUCAUUGGUUUCCCAGGAAAGCUGCUGAGGGCGGGAGCCCCAGAUGCACAGGUUGGCUCAUAAGCGGACUGCCUUUCACAGCCACCACUACCCACCCGGGGAGAGCACUGGAUUGUGGCAAACGGGACCUCUUUGUGUGAGCAACCAAGGCCAUAUGCUGCUGGCGAGUGUGGUGGGAUGUGUUUAUAUUGGAUACAGCCUGGAGCCCUGCACCGGAGCAUCUUACUGCCAGGAGAGCUAGUGUGGUGGAGGCGAGAAGCGGUGAAGCCAUUUCUAUCCCAGCAUGCCCAGCAUUUCAGAGAUGACAAGGAAAAUCUUCAUUACCAUUUCAAGAACUGGGAACAAAGAAAAAUCCCGUUCCAGGACACAGAGGAGGAGAUGCGGGUAGCUGAACAGAAACUUUUGAAGAUUACCAUGGGAAUACACCUGUGAACUUCCAGAUGAAUGAGGCCCAGAGAGGUUAAGACACUUUAUCAAGAUCACACAGCUGGUUUGAUCUCAGUUACUCCCUUACUUGAAGAAGGCUUCGAUGAUUCCUCAUGGAGAAAUCCCAGAUACUUCUGCACAUGAUUCAAAGGUCCCUUACAACUGGCUUCAGCCUGCCUUCCAAGCCCUGUCUCUUGCCUCUCCCUUCCUUCACGCCGUGCUUCAGCGAGAUUUUAGCCUAUUUUAUUGACAGAGGAGGUGUGAUUUGCAGUAACAAUGCUCUUAAAAAGGAUUACCAUCAUCAUCAUCACCAUCAUCAUCUUCAUCAUCAUCAUCCUUUUGAAGCAAAAGAAUCCAAAAGGAGUAACAGGGAUGACAUUUAAGGUUCAGAAUUCUAUAGGGAUGGUACAGCCCGGGUCCUAAAGCAAGGAUAUUGUACUAUUUUAUCAUCUUGUAGGGUGCAAUGCAUCCAGAAGAUAAAGGCCAAAGAUUAUACAUCAGAGAACCACCAGAAUCUUUCUGUUCUUGCAGGGACCAUCUUUACUCACAUGGCUAUAGUCAUCGAAAUUCCAACCGAGUAAUAAACUAAAU